AAUGCUAUACUCAAUUAAGCUAACUGAAAUCAAUUAACAAAUCAAGUAAUUUUUUUCCAUUUUCAGUUUACAGAGUAAAUCUACCUCUGGAUGCACUCAUGGACUUGCACUAAUGGACAAUCAGGCCACCUAAAUAGCAAUCCAUCUCUUGAUUUACAACAGUUUUGAACACCAUGAGAAAAGACUGAGUUAUUAGAAUAAGUCUUAGCUUAGUGUGACAACAGCAACUGGACCAGGGACGAUUCUCACAGUUCUACCAAAGGUUAUUGUGGAGAAAUCAACUAAAUCACAAGAUGGUGGCGCAACUGUGGAAACAACACCUUUACCAACGAUUUUCCAUACCAAGAACAUCAGCUCUGAGGAACAGAACACAACAGAGGUGAUCUGCACAGACAAGUUUGACAGCAGCAUGGUAACAAUACUGCCAGAUGCUGGAGGGCAGAGAGUGAACAUGCUGUCCAUGGCUGUGUUGGGUUUGAGAGUCCUGCUGGCAAAGAGCAUCGCCUUCAAUGCCCUCAUCAGCAUCAAGCUGUUUCUUUUCUGAGACAUGGGGAAUGAACCCGAAGAAGAGCAGGAAAGAACGUGAACCAGCAGCACAAGGGGGUGGAACAAGCAGGGCCAGAGCUGCUGGCAGAGACCACCCAGGACACAAGGCAGCACCUUCCCCUGAAGACAUGCAACACUGUUCACUCCUGCCUGGCCAGCUGAUUUACACUGAAGACUUUUAAGUGCUUUUGCUGUUUCCUCUCCUCUGAACACUGAGGAGAGUGGAUUUAUCCUCAUACUCCUGCUAAGUAGAUUCUCCCCAGUCUUCUAGCAUUUGCACACAAUUAUCCAACCUGCUUCAAUAGCUUUGAAACCUCCAGUGCUCAGUGCAGAUAGAUGGCCUUUGAAAAGCACCUUUGCCAGGCAUGUUGUGUUACUGCCUGUGGAACUGGAGUAGCACUGCUGAGGCAAUUCCAGCCCAGGAGCUGCCAUUUCUAGAUCUCGGUUUUAGAUAAUUUCAAUACCCAAAAGUGUGUAGAGGAGAAAGAGGAGCUCUGUAGAUUCUGGAGAGAUUUCAUUCAACCAGGUAUUAUUAAUUUCUUGAUUAAGCCUCUAUUUCUUCUGCCAAAUGGAUUGCAUGUCCAUUUUGGGUUCCUGCAGUAGUGACAAAAAUAAA